rnacentral:rRNA from 2 species
AACUCUGGUAUUGAUUGGUGCUUGCAUCAUGAUUUACAUUUGAGUGAGUGGCGAACUGGUGAGUAACACGUGGGAAACCUGCCCAGAAGCGGGGGAUAACACCUGGAAACAGAUGCUAAUACCGCAUAACAACUUGGACCGCAUGGUCCGAGUUUGAAAGAUGGCUUCGGCUAUCACUUUUGGAUGGUCCCGCGGCGUAUUAGCUAGAUGGUGGGGUAACGGCUCACCAUGGCAAUGAUACGUAGCCGACCUGAGAGGGUAAUCGGCCACAUUGGGACUGAGACACGGCCCAAACUCCUACGGGAGGCAGCAGUAGGGAAUCUUCCACAAUGGACGAAAGUCUGAUGGAGCAACGCCGCGUGAGUGAAGAAGGGUUUCGGCUCGUAAAACUCUGUUGUUAAAGAAGAACAUAUCUGAGAGUAACUGUUCAGGUAUUGACGGUAUUUAACCAGAAAGCCACGGCUAACUACGUGCCAGCAGCCGCGGUAAUACGUAGGUGGCAAGCGUUGUCCGGAUUUAUUGGGCGUAAAGCGAGCGCAGGCGGUUUUUUAAGUCUGAUGUGAAAGCCUUCGGCUCAACCGAAGAAGUGCAUCGGAAACUGGGAAACUUGAGUGCAGAAGAGGACAGUGGAACUCCAUGUGUAGCGGUGAAAUGCGUAGAUAUAUGGAAGAACACCAGUGGCGAAGGCGGCUGUCUGGUCUGUAACUGACGCUGAGGCUCGAAAGUAUGGGUAGCAAACAGGAUUAGAUACCCUGGUAGUCCAUACCGUAAACGAUGAAUGCUAAGUGUUGGAGGGUUUCCGCCCUUCAGUGCUGCAGCUAACGCAUUAAGCAUUCCGCCUGGGGAGUACGGCCGCAAGGCUGAAACUCAAAGGAAUUGACGGGGGCCCGCACAAGCGGUGGAGCAUGUGGUUUAAUUCGAAGCUACGCGAAGAACCUUACCAGGUCUUGACAUACUAUGCAAAUCUAAGAGAUUAGACGUUCCCUUCGGGGACAUGGAUACAGGUGGUGCAUGGUUGUCGUCAGCUCGUGUCGUGAGAUGUUGGGUUAAGUCCCGCAACGAGCGCAACCCUUAUUAUCAGUUGCCAGCAUUAAGUUGGGCACUCUGGUGAGACUGCCGGUGACAAACCGGAGGAAGGUGGGGAUGACGUCAAAUCAUCAUGCCCCUUAUGACCUGGGCUACACACGUGCUACAAUGGAUGGUACAACGAGUUGCGAACUCGCGAGAGUAAGCUAAUCUCUUAAAGCCAUUCUCAGUUCGGAUUGUAGGCUGCAACUCGCCUACAUGAAGUCGGAAUCGCUAGUAAUCGCGGAUCAGCAUGCCGCGGUGAAUACGUUCCCGGGCCUUGUACACACCGCCCGUCACACCAUGAGAGUUUGUAACACCCAAAGUCGGUGGGGUAACC